rnacentral:rRNA from 1 species
UAGACGCUGGCGGCGUGCCUAACACAUGCAAGUCGAGCGGCAGCGCGGGGGCAACCCUGGCGGCGAGCGGCGGACGGGUGAGCAAUACAUAGGAAUCUGCCUCAGAGCGGGGGAUAGCCAGGGGAAACCCUGAUUAAUACCGCAUGAUGUCGAGAGACCAAAGUGGGGGACCGUAAGGCCUCACACUCUGAGAUGAGCCUAUGUCGGCUUAGCUAGUUGGCGGGGUAACGGCCCACCAAGGCGACGAUCCGUAGCUGGUCUGAGAGGACGAUCAGCCACACCGGAACUGAGACACGGUCCGGACUCCUACGGGAGGCAGCAGUGGGGAAUAUUGGACAAUGGGCGAAAGCCUGAUCCAGCGACGCCGCGUGGGUGAAGAAGGCCUUCGGGUUGUAAAGCCCUUUAAGCCGGGACGAAAAAGCUACACCUAACACGUGUGGCCUUGACGGUACCGGAAGAAUAAGCACCGGCUAACUCUGUGCCAGCAGCCGCGGUAAUACAGAGGGUGCAAGCGUUAAUCGGAUUUACUGGGCCGUAAAGCGUGUGUAGGUUGGNUUUCCUAAGUCCGGUUGUGAAAAUUCCUUGGGCU